GAAGGAACCUUGAGGAAGAGGGAGAAUCAUGAAGAGGCAGGCUCCUGGGGAGAGAGAAUCAUUGCUGUGAGAGUAUUGUUUCUUUUUGGACAUCAUGCCUCUUUGAGAGUUAAAACUCUGGCUUUCAAGUAAUAGUGACUGGGAAGUGCUUUCAAAAUCCUGAGGUGAAGUGGGUGAAUAUCAGACAGCUCAUUAUAGAGACAUGCAUGCUGCAUUCCCAAAGUAGGAUGACAGAACAAGUCAUGUUCAUUUGCCUUCUGUGCCCUGAAGAUCUUGUACAGAAGUAAAAUGAGAUCCCUGGUGAAGCCUACAAUAUCGUUGACGCUGAGGAAGAAUUCAGAGACCCAUUGGUGUUUAAUGACCCUUACUAGCCUCCAUGAAAGAAACUGGUAUGAUCCACUAAAGGAGACAUAUGGUUCUUUGGAAUGAUAAAGAAACACUGUUUUCUUCAUGGGUAAACAUCGUAGUCAUGCAUUUCUAAACACUGCCUGGUUUUAGAUGACUGCUUUUAAAAUGGCCAUCCAAAUUUGGUGAGGAAUUGCAUUCGUUUUUCAUUAGUACUUGACCAACAGCAGUGAUAUUUUCCCAAUACUGCAAUCAUGCCAUUUUAAUGCUCUUAUUAUUCUGUGCUAUCAUAUCAGACUGAACAAAACACAACAGAUAAGAAAGCUGAGCUACACAAUAAAGAGCAACUGGACUGCUUUAUAGGGCAUGGGCACAUUGCAUAAUACAAGCAUAUGGUGAUAUCCCAGAGUUAUAGGUAAGUGCUGGAAUAUCAGGAUAUUUCAGUAUUCAUUUCUUCAUGAAAUUGAAGUAUAUACUUUACUGCAGUUAUACAUAGGACAAUGGCAACUGAAGGAAAUGGAGGAAGGGAAGGGCAAGAAGAAGAAAAGAGAGAUCAGGGUGACACCUGAUAUUUAAAGACAAAAUAAAAUAAAAACUGAUUUCACAAUGAAGUAAACAGUAGUGGAGAUUCAGCUAGGACAAUAUAGGGGAAAAAAAAGGAAAUAUUUUACUAUGGGCAUAUCACAGAAUGUACAGGGUCAGAACCUUUUGCUUGGGUAGAGUCUGCUUGCAGACAGUACUCAAGAUCUGAAUAUAUCUAAAACUCUCAGUAGAUACCCCAGUGCAGACAAAUUUUGGUCUUGUAAUGUUGAUGUAUUAGUUUGAGUAUGUAAAAGAGAUGCUGUACCUGUGGUAAAACAAGUGCAGUUAUCUUAGUUUCAAUUUCUCUAAAGGGUGUGUUCAAUUUCUAAACUCGAACUAUCCGGAUGAGAAAAUAUAUUAAGCUAUUGAAUUUUUUUUUUUUUUUUUCUUUAUCAGUCUUUUUAGUGACUAUCUUCACAGCUG